CAAAAUAUAGCUUAACAAAAGCACCCACCCUACAACUGGGAGAUGUCAUAAAAGACUUUUUUGA
rnacentral:tRNA from 1 species